UACGUAGGUGGCGAGCGUUGUCCGGAUUUACUGGGCGUAAAGAGCGCGCAGGCGGUCGUACAAGUCGCGUGUGAAAGCCCCCGGCUCAACUGGGGAGGGUCACGCGAUACUGUUCGACUCGAAGGCAGGAGAGGGAAGUGGAAUUCCCGGUGUAGUGGUGAAAUGCGUAGAUAUCGGAAGGAACACCUGUGGCGAAAGCGGCUCACUGGACCAUUACUGACGCUGAUGCACGAAAGCUAGGGGAGCAAACAGG
rnacentral:rRNA from 1 species